GAAAGAAAAAAAAACUCUGAUUUAACGACGUUUCUUCUGAGUGGUACAAGCAAAUAAUCAAAACUUUUAACAACGGAUCUCUUGGUUCUGGCAUCGAUGAAGAACGCAGCGAAAUGCGAUAAGUAAUGUGAAUUGCAGAAUUCAGUGAAUCAUCGAAUCUUUGAACGCACAUUGCGCCCGCCAGCAUUCUGGCGGGCAUGCCUGUUCGAGCGUCAUUUCAACCCUCAAGCUCUGCUUGGUGUUGGGGCCCUACAGCUGAUGUAGGCCCUCAAAGGUAGUGGCGGACCCUCCCGGAGCCUCCUUUGCGUAGUAACUUUACGUCUCGCACUGGGAUCCGGAGGGACUCUUGCCGUAAAACCCCCAAUUUUCCAAAGGUUGACCUCGGAUCAGGUAGGAAUACCCGCUGAACUUAAGCAUAUCAAUAAGGCGGAGGAA
rnacentral:rRNA from 1 species